AAGCUACUCCCUCCGUCUCAAAAUUCUUGUCUUAGAUUUGUCUAGAUACAGAUGUAUCAAGUCACAUUUUAGUAUUAGAUACAUCCGUAUCUAGACAAAUCUAAGACAAGAAAUUUGGGACAGAGGGAGUAGUUG
rnacentral:pre_miRNA from 1 species